UACGGAGGGUGCGAGCGUUGUCCGGAAUUAUUGGGCGUAAAGAGCUUGUAGGCGGUUUGUCGCGUCUGCUGUGAAAACUCGGGGCUUAACCCCGGGCCUGCAGUGGGUACGGGCAGACUAGAGUGCGGUAGGGGAGACUGGAAUUCCUGGUGUAGCGGUGAAAUGCGCAGACAUCAGGAGGAACACCGGUGGCGAAGGCGGGUCUCUGGGCCGUAACUGACGCUGAGGAGCGAAAGCGUGGGGAGCGAACAGG
rnacentral:rRNA from 1 species